UCGCAUUUUUAAUCAGUUCGAUGUUCGAUUGUGUAUCUGUGCGGAUUCUUUUUUUUUCUCAUUCUGUGUCGAUUUCAGCUCUGACAUCUCCGGCAGAGUGACACAUUUUUGCGCCUAAUAAGUCACAUUGUGUUUUAGUAAAUAGCCACCAGUCAACUAAUUCGAAAACGUAAUUAUCGCAUUUUUUGUGUGUUUGCUGGAAAUUUUGUUUGUACUGUCGUUUGGGAAUUGACGCAACAAAAAUAAGAAUAAACAAACAACAUCAAAAGACCAACAUUUGAAAAACGAUUCUUUUUUUAUGAAUCAGAACUGCUAAUGUAGUUGUUGUGUGCAUUUAAUUAAAUCGUUGACGACUCGUAGCUUACGACGAAAAAAAAAACAACAACAGAUAUAUAAAUUUAAGUUAUUUGUAAUCUGUUUGUCGAAUUGUCGUUUAUUUUUUUGUCCAUUUGCAUUAUUUUUAUUCUCGCUGUCAUUCCUGAUGACAAUUAUAUUAUUGUUUAUUUGUUAUGACUACAACAAAAAUAAAAAUGUUGAUUUGCAAGCCAUAAUAUCGAAUAACAUGAUGGAAGAAUAUUGGCGGUCCAAAAUCGUUGAUGCAAUCUUUUUCGGUAUACCGAAUGCACAGCCAUCGGUCGGAACAUGAGCUUGCUGCAUUAGUGGAAACAAUGUCAAUGGGAUAUCCAAUGCGAAUGAGCACACGUUGGUUUUUGUUUUUAAAUUUCAUUACAUCACUUUGACGAUACAUUUAGUGGAAUUUUCGGACGGAAUGUCGAAUGAUUAUUCGGACGGAAUGUAGUUACAGUAGUGUCGGUGACGAUAUCAACACCAGAUACAGCAUAAUGAACCCAUUUCCAAACAACCAUUCACGCAACAAAAAUGGCCAUCAACCAGAUUUUGUGAACUUUGUUAGAACAAUGUCGGGAAUCGGAUCUAGUGUAUAAAUCGCAUAAAUAGAAAGAUAAUCAGAAUCAGGAUGAUUGCGGGUGAACGUGGACACAAGUGAGUUGACGAUAAUGCACACACCGUUCGAUACUGUCCACAACGUGAGAUGUUCAUUCCGUCUCGGCAUUGAAUUUUUUGUUACAACAAAUAACUGAAUCGAUUCAGUUGCGUUUACAAUAAUUAUUUCUUGUAGAAACACAAA